CCUACGGGUGGCUGCAGUGGGGAAUAUUGCACAAUGGGCGCAAGCCUGAUGCAGCCAUGCCGCGUGUGUGAAGAAGGCCUUCGGGUUGUAAAGCACUUUCAGCGGGGAGGAAGGCGUUAAGGUUAAUAACCUUGUCGAUUGACGUUACCCGCAGAAGAAGCACCGGCUAACUCCGUGCCAGCAGCCGCGGUAAUACGGAGGGUGCAAGCGUUAAUCGGAAUUACUGGGCGUAAAGCGCACGCAGGCGGUCUGUCAAGUCGGAUGUGAAAUCCCCGGGCUCAACCUGGGAACUGCAUUCGAAGCUGGCAGGCUAGAGUCUUGUAGAGGGGGGUAGAAGUCCAGGUGUAGCGGUGAAAUGCGUAGAGAUCUGGAGGAAUACCGGUGGCGAAGGCGGCCCCCUGGACAAAGACUGACGCUCAGGUGCGAAAGCGUGGGGAGCAAACAGGAUUAGAUACCCUUGUAGUC
rnacentral:rRNA from 1 species